UCCGUAGGUGAACCUGCGGAGGGAUCAUUACCGAGUUUACAACUCCCAAACCCCUGUGAACAUACCAAUUGUUGCCUCGGCGGAUCAGCCCGCUCCCGGUAAAACGGGACGGCCCGCCAGAGGACCCCUAAACUCUGUUUCUAUAUGUAACUUCUGAGUAAAACCAUAAAUAAAUCAAAACUUUCAACAACGGAUCUCUUGGUUCUGGCAUCGAUGAAGAACGCAGCAAAAUGCGAUAAGUAAUGUGAAUUGCAGAAUUCAGUGAAUCAUCGAAUCUUUGAACGCACAUUGCGCCCGCCAGUAUUCUGGCGGGCAUGCCUGUUCGAGCGUCAUUUCAACCCUCAAGCCCCCGGGUUUGGUGUUGGGGAUCGGCGAGCCCUUGCGGCAAGCCGGCCCCGAAAUCUAGUGGCGGUCUCGCUGCAGCUUCCAUUGCGUAGUAGUAAAACCCUCGCAACUGGUACGCGGCGCGGCCAAGCCGUUAAACCCCCAACUUCUGAAUGUUGACCUCGGAUCAGGUAGGAAUACCCGCUGAACUUAAGCAUAUCAAUAAGCGGAGGA
rnacentral:rRNA from 10 species